GAUGAACGCUAGCGGGAGGCCUAAUACAUGCAAGUCGAACGGUAACAGGGUAGCAAUACCGCUGACGAGUGGCGCACGGGUGAGUAACACGUACACAAUCUGCCUUAUACUGGGGCAUACCCUCGGGAAACUGAGAAUAAUUCCCCAUAACAUAUUGAAAAGGCAUCUUUUUAAUAUUAAAACUCCGGUGGUAUAAGAUGAGUGUGCGUCUGAUUAGGUAGUUGGUGAGGUAACGGCUCACCAAGCCUACGAUCAGUAACUGGUCUGAGAGGAUGAUCAGUCACACGGGCACUGAGACACGGGCCCGACUCCUACGGGAGGCAGCAGUAGGGAAUAUUGGACAAUGGAGGCAACUCUGAUCCAGCCAUGCCGCGUGAGUGAAGAAGGCCUUCGGGUUGGUAAAGGUCUCUUUCGGUACAGAAAGAAA
rnacentral:rRNA from 1 species